CCUACGGGAGGCAGCAGUGAGGAAUAUUGGUCAAUGGGCGCGAGCCUGAACCAGCCAAGUAGCGUGAAGGAUGACUGCCCUACGGGUUGUAAACUUCUUUUAUAAAGGAAUAAAGUGAGGCACGUGUGCCUUUUUGUAUGUACUUUAUGAAUAAGGAUCGGCUAACUCCGUGCCAGCAGCCGCGGUAAUACGGAGGUUCCGAGCGUUAUCCGGAUUUAUUGGGUUUAAAGGGAGCGUAGGUGGGUUUUUAAGUCAGUUGUGAAAGUUUGCGGCUCAACCGUGAAAUUGCAAUUGAUACUGGCGGCCUUGAGUACAGUUGAGGUAGGCGGAAUUCGUGGUGUAGCGGUGAAAUGCUUAGAUAUCACGAAGAACUCCGAUUGCGAAGGCAGCUUACUAAACUGCCACUGACGUUGAUGCUCGAAAGUGUGGGUAUCAAACAGGAUUAGAUACCCUGGUAGUC
rnacentral:rRNA from 1 species